CCUACGGGAGGCAGCAGUGGGGAAUAUUGGACAAUGGGCGAAAGCCUGAUCCAGCCAUGCCGCGUGUGUGAAGAAGGCCUUCGGGUUGUAAAGCACUUUCAGUGGGGAAGAAAGCCUUGGGGCUAAUACCCUCGAGGAAGGACAUCACCCACAGAAGAAGCACCGGCUAACUCCGUGCCAGCAGCCGCGGUAAUACGGAGGGUGCGAGCGUUAAUCGGAAUUACUGGGCGUAAAGCGCGCGUAGGCGGUCUGAUAAGCCGGUUGUGAAAGCCCCGGGCUCAACCUGGGAACGGCAUCCGGAACUGUCAGGCUAGAGUGCAGGAGAGGAAGGUAGAAUUCCCGGUGUAGCGGUGAAAUGCGUAGAGAUCGGGAGGAAUACCAGUGGCGAAGGCGGUCUUCUGGACUGACACUGACGCUGAGGUGCGAAAGCGUGGGUAGCAAACAGGAUUAGAUACCCCAGUAGUC
rnacentral:rRNA from 1 species